GACGAACGCUGGCGGCGUGCUUAACACAUGCAAGUCGAACGGUAAGGACCCUCGGGGUACACGAGUGGCGAACGGGUGAGUAACACGUGGGUGAUCUGCCCUGCCCUUCGGGAUAAGCCAGGGAAACCGGGUACCAUACGGGACAGGCACACUGGCUGCAUGGGUGGUGGGGGAAAGCUUUUGCGGUGUGGGAUGGGCCCGCGGCCUAUCAGCUUGUAGGUGGGGUGAUGGCCUACCAAGGCGACGACGUGUAGCCGGCCUGAGAGGGUGACCAGCCACACUGGGACUGAGAUACGGCCCAGACUCCUACGGGAGGCAGCAGUAGGGAAUAUUGCACAAUGGGCGCAAGCCUGAUGCAGCGACGCCGCGUGAGGGAUGUCGGCCUUCGGGUUGUAAACCUCUUUCAGCACCGACGAAGCGCAAGUGACGGUAGGUGCAGAAGAAGGACCGGCCAACUACGUGCCAGCCGCCGCGGUAA
rnacentral:rRNA from 1 species